GGUUAAGCGACUAAGCGUACACGGUGGAUGCCCUGGCAGUCAGAGGCGAUGAAGGACGUGCUAAUCUGCGAUAAGCGUCGGUAAGGUGAUAUGAACCGUUAUAACCGGCGAUUUCCGAAUGGGGAAACCCAGUGUGAUUCGUCACACUAUCAUUAACUGAAUCCAUAGGUUAAUGAGGCGAACCGGGGGAACUGAAACAUCUAAGUACCCCGAGGAAAAGAAAUCAACCGAGAUUCCCCCAGUAGCGGCGAGCGAACGGGGAGGAGCCCAGAGCCUGAAUCAGUGUGUGUGUUAGUGGAAGCGUCUGGAAAGGCGCGCGAUACAGGGUGACAGCCCCGUACACAAAAAUGCACAUACUGUGAGCUCGAUGAGUAGGGCGGGACACGUGGUAUCCUGUCUGAAUAUGGGGGGACCAUCCUCCAAGGCUAAAUACUCCUGACUGACCGAUAGUGAACCAGUACCGUGAGGGAAAGGCGAAAAGAACCCCGGCGAGGGGAGUGAAAAAGAACCUGAAACCGUGUACGUACAAGCAGUGGGAGCCUCUUUAUGGGGUGACUGCGUACCUUUUGUAUAAUGGGUCAGCGACUUAUAUUCUGUAGCAAGGUUAACCGAAUAGGGGAGCCGAAGGGAAACCGAGUCUUAACUGGGCGUUAAGUUGCAGGGUAUAGACCCGAAACCCGGUGAUCUAGCCAUGGGCAGGUUGAAGGUUGGGUAACACUAACUGGAGGACCGAACCGACUAAUGUUGAAAAAUUAGCGGAUGACUUGUGGCUGGGGGUGAAAGGCCAAUCAAACCGGGAGAUAGCUGGUUCUCCCCGAAAGCUAUUUAGGUAGCGCCUCGUGAAUUCAUCUCCGGGGGUAGAGCACUGUUUCGGCAAGGGGGUCAUCCCGACUUACCAACCCGAUGCAAACUGCGAAUACCGGAGAAUGUUAUCACGGGAGACACACGGCGGGUGCUAACGUCCGUCGUGAAGAGGGAAACAACCCAGACCGCCAGCUAAGGUCCCAAAGUCAUGGUUAAGUGGGAAACGAUGUGGGAAGGCCCAGACAGCCAGGAUGUUGGCUUAGAAGCAGCCAUCAUUUAAAGAAAGCGUAAUAGCUCACUGGUCGAGUCGGCCUGCGCGGAAGAUGUAACGGGGCUAAACCAUGCACCGAAGCUGCGGCAGCGACACUAUGUGUUGUUGGGUAGGGGAGCGUUCUGUAAGCCUGUGAAGGUGUACUGUGAGGUAUGCUGGAGGUAUCAGAAGUGCGAAUGCUGACAUAAGUAACGAUAAAGCGGGUGAAAAGCCCGCUCGCCGGAAGACCAAGGGUUCCUGUCCAACGUUAAUCGGGGCAGGGUGAGUCGA
rnacentral:rRNA from 1 species